rnacentral:rRNA from 1 species
UGGUGAGGUAAUAGCUCACCAAGGCGACGAUGGGUAGCCGGCCUGAGAGGGUGGACGGCCACACUGGGACUGAGACACGGCCCAGACUCCUACGGGAGGCAGCAGUAGGGAAUAUUGCGCAAUGGAGGAAACUCUGACGCAGCGACGCCGCGUGAGCGAUGAAGGUCUUCGGAUCGUAAAGCUCUGUCCUCAGGGAAGAAGGUCUUUUGACUUGACGGUACCUGUGGAGGAAGCCCCGGCUAACUACGUGCCAGCAGCCGCGGUAAUACGUAGGGGGCAAGCGUUGUCCGGAAUUAUUGGGCGUAAAGGGUGCGUAGGCGGCCUUUUAAGUCAGAUGUGAAAGCCCACGGCUUAACCGUGGGAUUGCAUUUGAAACUGGAGGGCUUGAGUAUCGGAGAGGGUAGUGGAAUUCCCAGUGUAGCGGUGAAAUGCGUAGAUAUUGGGAGGAACACCAGUGGCGAAGGCGACUACCUGGACGAAAACUGACGCUGAUGCACGAAAGCUAGGGGAGCAAACAGGAUUAGAUACCCUGGUAGUCCUAGCCGUAAACGAUGGGUACUAGGUGUAGGGGGUUUCGAUACCCUCUGUGCCGGAGUUAA